GACGAACGCUGGCGGCGUGCUUAACACAUGCAAGUCGAACGGACAGGCCCUGCUUUUGUGGGGUGCUCGAGUGGCGAACGGGUGAGUAACACGUGAGUAACCUGCCCUUGACUUUGGGAUAACUUCAGGAAACUGGGGCUAAUACCGGAUAGGAGCUCCUGCUGCAUGGUGGGGGUUGGAAAGUUUCGGCGGUUGGGGAUGGACUCGCGGCUUAUCAGCUUGUUGGUGGGGUAGUGGCUUACCAAGGCUUUGACGGGUAGCCGGCCUGAGAGGGUGACCGGCCACAUUGGGACUGAGGUACGGCCCAGACUCCUACGGGCGGCAGCAGUGGGGAAUAUUGCGCAAUGGGCGGAAGCGUGAUGUAGCAACGCCGCGUGCGGGAUGACGGCCUUCGGGUUGUAAACCGAUUUCGCCUGUGACGAAGCGUGAGUGACGGUAAUGGGUAAAGAAGCACCGGCUAACUACGUG
rnacentral:rRNA from 1 species